GGGGAGUGACGUCAAGUCAGCAUGGCCUUUAUAUCCUGGGCUACACACACGCUACAAUGGGAAGGGACAAUAGGUUGCGAAGCCGCGAGGCGGAGCCAAUCCAGCAAAACUUCCCUCAGUUCAGAUUGCAGGCUGCAACUCGCCUGCAUGAAGUUGGAGUUGCUAGUAAACGCAGGUCAGCCAUACUGCGUUGAAUACGUUCCCGGGGCUU
rnacentral:rRNA from 1 species